UACAGAGGUGGCAAGCGUUGUUCGGAAUUACUGGGCGUAAAGGGCGCGUAGGCGGCCCGCUAAGUCGAACGUGAAAUCCCUGGGCUCAACCCAGGAACUGCGUCCGAUACUGGCAGGCUUGAAUCCGGGAGAGGGAUGCGGAAUUCCAGGUGUAGCGGUGAAAUGCGUAGAUAUCUGGAGGAACACCGGUGGCGAAGGCGGCAUCCUGGACCGGUAUUGACGCUGAGGCGCGAAAGCCAGGGGAGCAAACGGG
rnacentral:rRNA from 1 species